rnacentral:rRNA from 1 species
UACGAAGGGGGCUAGCGUUGUUCGGAAUUACUGGGCGUAAAGCGCACGUAGGCGGGUGGUUAAGUCAGGGGUGAAAUCCCGGAGCUCAACUCCGGAACUGCCUUUGAUACUGGCCAUCUAGAGAUCGGAAGAGGUGAGUGGAAUUCCCAGUGUAGAGGUGAAAUUCGUAGAUAUUGGGAAGAACACCAGUGGCGAAGGCGGCUCACUGGUCCGAUACUGACGCUGAGGUACGAAAGCGUGGGGAGCAAACAGG